GAUGAACGCUGGCGGCGUGCCUAAUACAUGCAAGUCGAGCGAACAGACGAGGAGCUUGCUCCUCUGACGUUAGCGGCGGACGGGUGAGUAACACGUGGAUAACCUACCUAUAAGACUGGGAUAACUUCGGGAAACCGGAGCUAAUACCGGAUAAUAUAUUGAACCGCAUGGUUCAAUAGUGAAAGACGGUUUUGCUGUCACUUAUAGAUGGAUCCGCGCCGCAUUAGCUAGUUGGUAAGGUAACGGCUUACCAAGGCAACCAUGCGUAGCCGACCUGAGAGGGUGAUCGGCCACACUGGAACUGAGACACGGUCCAGACUCCUACGGGAGGCAGCAGUAGGGAAUCUUCCGCAAUGGGCGAAAGCCUGACGGAGCAACGCCGCGUGAGUGAUGAAGGUCUUCGGAUCGUAAAACUCUGUUAUUAGGGAAGAACAAAUGUGUAAGUAACUAUGCACGUCUUGACGGUACCUAAUCAGAAAGCCACGGCUAACUACGUG
rnacentral:rRNA from 1 species